rnacentral:rRNA from 1 species
UACGAAGGGGGCUAGCGUUGUUCGGAAUUACUGGGCGUAAAGGGCGCGUAGGCGGUACUUCAAGUCAGGCGUGAAAGCCCCGGGCUCAACCUGGGAACCGCGCUUGAGACUGGAGAACUAGAGUUCGGGAGAGGAUGGUGGAAUUCCCAGUGUAGAGGUGAAAUUCGUAGAUAUGGGGAGGAACACCGGUGGCGAAGGCGGCCAUCUGGACGGAUACUGACGCUGAGACGCGAAGCGUGGGGAGCAAAC